rfam:Mustela putorius furo breed Sable contig112079, whole genome shotgun sequence.
UCAAAGGCUCUUUUAAGAGCCACCCACUCUCUCAAGUAAAAGAGUU